UACGAAGGGUGCUAGCGUUAUUCGGAAUUAUUGGGCGUAAAGGGUGCGCAGGCGGCGCACUAAGUCAACUGUCAAAUCUCCCGGCCUAACCGGGAAUCGGCGGUAGAUACUGGUGUGCUAGAGGGUGGAAGAGAGAAGUGGAAUUCUUGGAGUAGAGGUAAAAUUCGUAGAUCUCAAGAGGAACACCGAUGGCGAAGGCAGCUUCUUGGUCCACAUCUGACGCUCAUGCACGAAAGCGUGGGGAGCAAACAGG
rnacentral:rRNA from 1 species